GGAGCAUGUGGUUUAAUUCGAUGCAACGCGAAGAACCUUACCUACUCUUGACAUCCAGAGAAUUCGCUAGAGAUAGCUUAGUGCCUUCGGGAACUCUGAGACAGGUGCUGCAUGGCUGUCGUCAGCUCGUGUUGUGAAAUGUUGGGUUAAGUCCCGCAACGAGCGCAACCCUUAUCCUUGUUUGCCAGCACNUAAUGGUGGGAACUCCAGGGAGACUGCCGGUGAUAAACCGGAGGAAGGUGGGGACGACGUCAAGUCAUCAUGGCCCUUACGAGUAGGGCUACACACGUGCUACAAUGGCGUAUACAGAGGGCUGCAAACUAGCGAUAGUGAGCGANUCCCACAAAGUACGUCGUAGUCCGGAUNGGAGUCUGCAACUCGACUCCANGAAGUNGGAAUCG
rnacentral:rRNA from 1 species